CGGGCUUGCCUAGAACGGGUUACC
rnacentral:miRNA from 1 species